CGAUAAGAUUAUCUAUAUAUAUUUGUGCUUUUCAUUAUAAAGAUGAAAGACUCAAUUUAUUUUGGGUUUGUUGGUGAAUAGGAUUGCAAUUUGAAACUGUGAAGUUUGGUGUUUUGGAGAAUAAAAUUAGUCUUAAAUGACAAUCAUCUGUUUUCACCAAAAAUAACCAUACAUCUGUUUUGCCUAAAUGGAGUUAAUCUGUUGUGUUUCCAUGUUGUGCUUUCGUUGGCUGCCAUACAAUACGAAAAUAACAAUUCCAUUUCCAGUAAUAUUACAACUAAUUUCAUAUAGAUUUAUUGCCAUAAACAUAUAAGGGGUCUACAUCCGUGAAGUUGAAAUUUUAUUUUUUUUUGGUUUUUUCCCAUAAACUUAAUAGUAACUAGACAUAGGUUCUUUAUCACUCGAUUUCUCCAUCUGUGAAGUUGCAAAUUUUUUUGGAUUUUUUAUUUUUUGUUAUUUGCAGUAAGUUAAAGUAUGGAUGACAUUGAAAAUGACCACAACGAUGUUUUCGAGCCAUCAGAGAAUGAGAAUGUGAAGGAUUCUGUGAAUGAAGUUGGUCGUGAAACAUCAAUGGGAGACGGUGUAAUUGUACCGGAUGUGGGAAUGUUGUUAAAAAUGAACAAGAGAUGUAUGAUUUCUACAAAAAAUAUGCGUACACAAUGGGUUUUCCAGUUAAGAAAAGGAAUUCGAAAAAGGGGGACGAUGGAGUUUUAAGAUAUUUGAUGUUGACUUGUAGCCGUGAAGGCAAAAGCAUCGGUAAUAGUAGCUGCUCUUUGAAGCCGCACCCAACAGUUAAGAUGGGUUGUAAGGCCAGAAUAUCUACAUCGGUCGAUGUUCUAGGAAAUUGGAGAAUUAAUGCAGUAAACCUCGAACACAAUCAUGAGACAAGUCUUUAUAAAUCCAGAUUAUACUGAUGCAAUAGACAAUUGAGUGCAGCUAUGAAAUGAAAGCUUGAGGUGAAUAAUUUGGCAGGAAUUGCAUUGCAUAAAAGCUACAACUCCGCAGUUGUAGAAACGGGUGGAUAUGAGAACAUGACUUGUAUUGAAAAGGAUUGUAGGAACUAUGUAGAACGCGUGAGGCGAUUGCGUCUUGGAGAAGGAGAUGCUGCAACAAUUCUAUCGUAUUUUUCAAAAAAUGCAAGCACGGUGCUUGGGAUUUUAUUUUGAUAUUGAUUUGGAUGAGGAGUCACGGUUGAGAAAUGUGUUCUGGUUAGAUAAUCGGAGUAAGCAAGCGUACAAAGAGUUCGGGGAUGUUGUUUCAUUUGAUACCACUUAUCCGACUAAUAAGUAUGAUAUGUCGUUCGCUCCUUUUGUUAGCGUAAAUCAUCACGGACAAACGACACUAAUUUAAAUCUUCAUUUAUAUCACAAAUUGAUUAAAUAUUUUCAUGUAAAAUACAGCUAAUAUUGGAUGUAGUUGCGAUAUUGCAAUGUUAUCAUUAGAUUCACAGUCAAUUACAUGCCAUUAUCACUGGAAUUGAGACAUUAAGUGGUUGUUUUAAUGUUAUUUAGUUCCUAAAUACUUACUUGGGCCUUUGUCUUAUGUUACCAGAUACAUUGCAGGCACGUUGGGCUAACCACGAAGAGUUCGGCACGUUGCGGGCUGCACAUUCACCAGAGCUGGCAAUUGAUUGUUCUCAUGACUUUGCAUUGUCUCAUUUCCAAAUUGUAAAGGAUUGGUUUUGGGAUUGUACCCUUAUUAUGACUGGAGGGAUAAUUCAUUUUGGAUGUUAGCCAUUAAAUGUGUUUUGUCAAGAAACUUAGGCAGGUUGCGUUUCUAUUGCUAAGCCAAUUAAUCUGGUCAUCAAAUCCUUUUUCUUAAUUUCACUUACCCGAAUAGGCUUCUUGAAUUUGUUGGGACUUCUUUUUAGCUUGGUGG
rnacentral:lncRNA from 1 species